rnacentral:rRNA from 1 species
UGAGGAAUAUUGGUCAAUGGCCGAGAGGCUGAACCAGCCAAGUCGCGUGAGGGAAGACGGUCCUAUGGAUUGUAAACCUCUUUUGUCAGGGAGCAAGAAGAAUCACGUGUGAUUCAGCGAGAGUACCUGAAGAAAAAGCAUCGGCUAACUCCGUGCCAGCAGCCGCGGUAAUACGGAGGAUGCGAGCGUUAUCCGGAUUUAGUGGGUUUAAAGGGUGCGUAGGCGGGCUUUUAAGUCAGCGGUUAAAACGGGAGGCUCAACCUUCUGUCGCCGUUGAAACUGAGAGUCUUGAGUGGGCGAGAAGUAUGCGGAAUGCGUGGUGUAGCGGUGAAAUGCAUAGAUAUCACGCAGAACUCCGAUUGCGAAGGCAGCAUACCGGCGCCCAACUGACGCUGAAGCACGAAAGCGUGGGUAUCGAACAGG